UCGGCAACGGAUAUCUCGGCUCUCGCAUCGAUGAAGAACGUAGCGAAAUGCGAUACCUGGUGUGAAUUGCAGAAUCCCGCGAACCAUCGAGUCUUUGAACGCAAGUUGCGCCCGAGGCCAUCCGGCCGAGGGCACGCCUGCCUGGGCGUCACGCCAAAAGACGCU
rnacentral:rRNA from 1 species